UAAUACAGAGGGUGCGAGCGUUAAUCGGAAUUACUGGGCGUAAAGGGUGCGUAGGUGGUCAAUUAAGUCAGAUGUGAAAUCCCUGGGCUUAACCUAGGAAUUGCAUAUGAUACUGGUUGACUAGAGUGCGGGAGAGGGAAGUGGAAUUUCCGGUGUAGCGGUGAAAUGCGUAGAUAUCGGAAGGAACAUCAGUGGCGAAGGCGACUUCCUGGCCCGUUACUAACACUGAGGCACGAAAGCGUGGGGAGCAAACAGGAUUAGAUACCCUGGUAGUCCACGCCGUAAACGAUGAGAACUAGAUGUUAGGGGACUUCGGUCUUUUAGUAUCGCAGCUAACGCGAUAAGUUCUCCGCCUGGGGAGUACGGCCGCAAGGUUA
rnacentral:rRNA from 1 species